CCCUUAGAUGUUCGGGGCCGCACGCGCGCUACACUGGCGGAAUCAGCGGGUGUCUUGUGCCUUGGCCGAAAGGUCUGGGUAAUCCGCUGAACCUCCUCCGUGAUGGGGAUAGGGAAUUGCAAUUAUUUCCCUUGAACGAGGAAUUCCCAGUAAGCGCGAGUCAUCAGCUCGCGUUGAUUACGUCCCUGCCCUUUGUACGCACCGCCCGUCGCUACUACCGAUUGAAUGGUUUAGUGAGAUCCUCGGAUGGUCGGCGUCGGGAUGUCUUUGGCGUCUCGUUCUGCCAGACGAGAAGACGAUCAAACUUGAUCAUUUAGAGGAAGUAAAAGUCGUAACA
rnacentral:rRNA from 1 species